AUAGUACUCCCUUCGUCCCAAAAUUCUUGUCUUAGAUUUGUCUAGAUGCGGAUGUAUCAAGUCACGUUUUAGUAUUAGAUACAUCCGUAUCUAAACAAAUCUAAAACAAGAAUUUUGGGACGGAGGGAGUAGUAU
rnacentral:pre_miRNA from 1 species